GCUUUUGUCUACGGCCGAAUGUACCCGAUCUCUUCUGUUCUUGGAAGCUAAGCAAGGCCUUUUAGUAUUUGGACAGGAGGAAAACCAGUUUUGUUACUACUGAUUGAAGUA
rnacentral:rRNA from 1 species